UACGAAGGGGGCUAGCGUUGCUCGGAAUCACUGGGCGUAAAGCGCACGUAGGCGGAUUGUUAAGUCAGGGGUGAAAUCCUGGAGCUCAACUCCAGAACUGCCUUUGAUACUGGCGAUCUUGAGUCCGGGAGAGGCGAGUGGAACUGCGAGUGUAGAGGUGAAAUUCGUAGAUAUUCGCAAGAACACCAGUGGCGAAGGCGCUCACUGGCCCGGUACUGACGCUGAGGUGCGAAAGCGUGGGGAGCAAACA
rnacentral:rRNA from 1 species